CAGUAGCCGCGGGAAUACGUAGGGUGCGAGCGUUAAUCGGAAUUACUGGGCGUAAAGCGUGCGCAGGCGGUUUUGUAAGACAGGCGUGAAAUCCCCGGGCUCAACCUGGGAAUGGCGCUUGUGACUGCAAAGCUAGAGUGCGGCAGAGGGGGAUGGAAUUCCGCGUGUAGCAGUGAAAUGCGUAGAUAUGCGGAGGAACACCGAUGGCGAAGGCAAUCCCCUGGGCCUGCACUGACGCUCAUGCACGAAAGCGUGGGGAGCAAACGGGAUUAGAUACCCCCGUAGUCCCUGUCUCUUAUAC
rnacentral:rRNA from 1 species